rnacentral:rRNA from 1 species
GAUGAACGCUGGCGGCGUGCCUAAUACAUGCAAGUCGAGCGAGCAGACGAGGAGCUUGCUCCUCUGACGUUAGCGGCGGACGGGUGAGUAACACGUGGAUAACCUACCUAUAAGACUGGGAUAACUUCGGGAAACCGGAGCUAAUACCGGAUAAUAUAUUGAACCGCAUGGUUCAAUAGUGAAAGACGGUUUUGCUGUCACUUAUAGAUGGAUCCGCGCCGCAUUAGCUAGUUGGUAAGGUAACGGCUUACCAAGGCAACGAUGCGUAGCCGACCUGAGAGGGUGAUCGGCCACACUGGAACUGAGACACGGUCCAGACUCCUACGGGAGGCAGCAGUAGGGAAUCUUCCGCAAUGGGCGAAAGCCUGACGGAGCAACGCCGCGUGAGUGAUGAAGGUCUUCGGAUCGUAAAACUCUGUUAUUAGGGAAGAACAAAUGUGUAAGUAACUAUGCACGUCUUGACGGUACCUAAUCAGAAAGCCACGGCUAACUACGUG